rnacentral:misc_RNA from 1 species
GAUGAAGAACGUAGCGAAAUGCGAUAAGUAAUGUGAAUUGCAGAAUUCAGUGAAUCAUCGAGUCUUUGAACGCACAUUGCGCCCCCUGGUAUUCCGGGGGGCAUGCCUGUCCGAGCGUCAUUGCUGCCCUCAAGCACGGCUUGUGUGUUGGGCCCCCGCCCCCCGGCUUCGGGGGGCGGGCCCGAAAGGCAGCGGCGGCACCGCGUCCGGUCCUCGAGCGUAUGGGGCUUCGUCACCCGCUCUGUAGGCCCGGCCGGCGCCCGCCGGCGACCCCAAUCAAUCUUUCCAGGUUGACCUCGGAUCAGGUAGGGAUACCCGCUGAACUUAAGCACAUCAAUAAGCGGAGGA